rnacentral:rRNA from 1 species
CGAGGGGCAGCGGGGAGUGAGGCUUGCCUUACUUUGCCGGCGACCGGCGCACGGGUGAGUAACACGUAUGCAACCUACCCUUUACAGCGGGAUAACCGGAAGAAAGUUCGCCUAAUACCGCAUAUACUCCUUGGGAGGCAUCUUCCGAGGGGGAAAGAAUUUCGGUGAAGGAUGGGCAUGCGUCGCAUUAGUUAGUUGGCGGUGUAACGGACCACCAAGACGACGAUGCGUAGGGGUUCUGAGAGGAAGGUCCCCCACACUGGUACUGAGACACGGACCAGACUCCUACGGGAGGCAGCAGUGAGGAAUAUUGGUCAAUGGCCGAGAGGCUGAACCAGCCAAGUCGCGUGAGGGAAGAAUGUCCUAUGGAUUGUAAACCUCUUUUGUCAGGGAGCAAAGUCACCCACGCGUGGGUGUUGGAGAGUACCCGGAGAAAAAGCAUCGGCUAACUCCGUGCCAGCAGCCGCGGUAAUACGGAGGAUGCGAGCGUUAUCCGGAUUUAUUGGGUUUAAAGGGUGCGUAGGCGGGCUUUUAAGUCAGCGGUAAAAAUUCGGGGCUCAACCCCGUCCGGCCGUUGAAACUGGGGGCCUUGAGUGGGCGAGAAGAAGGCGGAAUGCGUGGUGUAGCGGUGAAAUGCAUAGAUAUCACGAAGAACCCCGAUUGCGAAGGCAGCCUUCCGGCGCCCUACUGACGCUGAGGCACGAAAGUGCGGGGAU